AUUGAACGCUGGCGGCAUGCCUUACACAUGCAAGUCGAACGGCAGCGGACCUUCGGGUGCCGGCGAGUGGCGAACGGGUGAGUAAUAUAUCGGAACGUACCUUUCAGUGGGGGAUAACGUAGCGAAAGUUACGCUAAUACCGCAUAUUCUGUGAGCAGGAAAGCAGGGGAUCGCAAGACCUUGCGCUGAUUGAGCGGCCGAUGUCGGAUUAGCUAGUUGGUGGGGUAAAGGCCUACCAAGGCGACGAUCCGUAGCGGGUCUGAGAGGAUGAUCCGCCACACUGGGACUGAGACACGGCCCAGACUCCUACGGGAGGCAGCAGUGGGGAAUUUUGGACAAUGGGCGCAAGCCUGAUCCAGCCAUGCCGCGUGAGUGAAGAAGGCC
rnacentral:rRNA from 1 species